AGGACGAACGCUGGCGGCGUGCUUAACACAUGCAAGUCGAACGAGGUUCAACCAGUCGCAAGACUGGUGAAGAUCGAGUGGCGAACGGGUGCGUAACACGUGAGAAACCUGUCCCGGUCUCUGGAAUAACAGUCGGAAACGACUGCUAAUACCGGAUGCCGUCGGAGCGUCGCAUGGCGCGCUGACGAAAGGGCUACCGGAUCGGGAGGGUCUCGCGGCCUAUCAGCUUGUUGGUGAGGUAACGGCUCACCAAGGCAUCGACGGGUAGCUGGUCUGAGAGGAUGAUCAGCCACACUGGGACUGAGACACGGCCCAGACUCCUACGGGAGGCAGCAGUGGGGAAUCUUGCACAAUGGGCGAAAGCCUGAUGCAGCAACGCCGCGUGCGGAUGAAGGCCUAGGUGUAAACCGCUUUCAGCGAAGGAAGAAAUGACGGUACCUGUAAGAAGAAGGUGACGGACCAACGUACGUACCAAGCAAGCCGACGGUAAUCGUA
rnacentral:rRNA from 1 species